rnacentral:rRNA from 1 species
AUUUUAUGAAAAAUAUUUAAUUGGUGGAAACCUAGGUAUCCUUAAUAUUAAUAAUGGGCGAAUUAAAUGUACGAAACUAUCUCUUUUUAUAGGACAUUAUUAUAUAAUAUAAUACUUUCAAAUGAGUGAUUCCCAAAUAAAUUUUAUAUUUAUAUACAUAUAUUAACUAUAUUUAGCUACAAUUAUUUAAAUACUAAAUAAAACUUGGAAAAUUGAAACAUCUUAAUAACCAAAGGAAAAGAAAGCAAAAUCGCGAUUCCCGUAGUAAUGGUGAAUGAAAUGGGAGAAUACUUAAACCGCUAUUUUUAACAAAAGACGGGGUUGCGGGAUAAUAUAUAAUUAAUAAUAAAUAUAAUAUAUACAUAAAUCGGUAUAAAUAAAUACUUACCUUAGAUUGGUAUUUAAAGUCCAGUAUGGUUUUAAAAAUUAUUAUUAAUUUUAAUAUAUAUUAUAUAUAUAUAUAAACCCAAUUAGCAUGAAAAGUGGUAAUUUUUUGUGAAUCAGCAAUAUCACACAUUGUAAGACUUAAUAUAUUUACGGAUAAUCCUAUAGAGAAUAAUUAAGUACCGUAAGGGAAAGGUGAAAAUAAUCCAUUUUGGAAGUGAAAUAGAAUAUUAAACCAAUAAAUUUUAACAAUUGGAGAAAUUAUUUAAAUUUUUCAGUGUACUUGUUGAAGAAUGGGCCAGCGACUUAUAAUAAGUGGUUUGGUUAAAAGUAUAUAAACAUUGUAUCCUAAACGAAAGUAAAUAUUUAUAUAAAUAUUAUUAUCUUAUCACUUAUUAUGUACCCGAACCGGAGUGAUCUAUUCAUGAUCAGGAUAUAAAUUUUAAAAAUUAAAAAAAAAAGUCCGAACUGACUUAUGUUAAAUAAUAAGCAGAUGAAUUGUGAUUAGAGGUGAAAUGCCAUUCGAACUCUGAACUAGCUGGUUCUCCCCGAAAUGCGUUGAGGCGCAGCUGUUUAUAUAUGUAAAUCAUGGGGGUAUAAAAUUUUAUUAUAAAUUAAAAUAGAAUUAUUAGUAAUAUAAAAAAGUUACUGCUAUAAAUAAAAUUUUUAAUACUGUAUUAUAUUUAACAAAAUUAUAAAAAUUAAUAUACAAGUGAUACAAUAGGGGAAAAGCUCAAUUGUAAAGAGGGAAACAGCCCGGAUCGUAGUAUAAGGUCCUAAAAAUGAUUUAUUAGUUAUAAUGUGGAAAAUGUAUUUACAAUCAAUAGGUUUGCUUAGAAACAGCUAUCCUUUAAAGAGUACGUAAUAGUUUAUUGAUUAAGCAUUAUUUUUUUUAUUUAAAAUUUAAUACGGGAUUAAUUUAUCUACCGAAAUCACGGGAGUAAAUAUUAAUAAAAAUAUUUGCCGGUAGGGGAGCGUUUUGAUUAAAAAAACUUAUCAAAAGUGAUAAUGUUGGCUUAAGUAGCGUAAACAUUAGUGAGAAUCUAAUGCUCUGAAAACCUAAGGGUUCCUCUAAUUUACAAUUAUAAUAUAAUUAAAAAGGUUUAUCCGUAGAGGGUGAGUCAAAACUUAAAAUGAGGUAUAAACAACGUAAUUAAUAGAUAACAAGUGAAUAUUCUUGUACUUCUAAAUAUCGAAAAAUAUAAUAUAUUUUUUUUAGUACUGAGGGACGGAGCUACUUCUAUAUUUUUAAUUGAUCAAAAUAUGGUUAUUGAUUGUUAAAUAAAUUAUAAUUUUUAAAUAGGGAAAAUUUUUAUUUUUUAUAAACACGAAUUAUGAAAAAUAGUUGUACUCCCGGGAAAAGCUUUAACGACUUUAAUAAUUUAAUAAAAGGAUAAUUUAUUUGUACCUUAAACUAACACAAGUAGGUAGGUUAAUAAUACCUAAGAGCUCGUUGCAACUCUCUCUAAGGAACUCGGCAAAAUAACCUCGUAACUUCGGGAUAAGAGGUAUCUGUUAUAAUAAUAGAUCUAAGUAAUUAUAUCCGGACGACUGUUUAUCAAAAACACAAGUUUUCGCAAAAUUGUAAGAUCAUGUAUGAAAGCUGACGCCUGCCCGGUGCUGAGAAGUAAAAGAAAUUUAUGAUCUUAUUAUAGAGAGUAGUAAAUAACUUAAACCUCGGUUAACGGCGGCCGUAACUAUGACGGUCCUAAGGUAGCGAAAUUCCUUGUCGGGUAAGUUCCGACCCGCACGAAAGGCGUAACGAUCCGGGUACUGUCUCAGAGAGAGACUCGGCGAAAUGGACAUAUCUGUGAAGAUGCGGAUUAUUCACACCUGGACUGAAAGACCCUAUGAAGCUUUACUGUUUUCUAAGACUGAUUUUUAUAUUUUUAUUUUAUAAUAAACAGGUGGGGGUUUUUUAAAUAAUGAAAUUUUUGAUUAAUAUACCACCUAAUAAAAAUUAUAAUUCUAACUUUAUAUUUAAACUACUAUAGUAAUGAAAAAUCUAAGAUAUACAGUUUAUAUGGGGCGUGGGCCUCUAAAAAAAUAACGGAGGCGUACAAAAAUUCUCUUAUUACACAUAUUGUUGUUAAUAUUAGUGCAAAGGCAUAUACAGAAAGUUUGACUGUAAGACUUACAGGUCAAACAGGAACGAAAGUUGGUCUUAGUGAUCCGACGAUAAUUAUACCAAGUGUUAGGGACGUCGACUAGCGGAUAAAAGUUACUCUAGGGAUAACAGGCUAAUCUUUUCUAAAAGAUCACAUUUAAUAAAAGGUUUGGCACCUCGAUGUCGGCUCUUCGCGACCUGGGGCUGCAGUAGGUCCCUAGGGUAGGGCUGUUCGCCCAUUAAAGCGGUACGUGAGCUGGGUUC